GACGAACGCUGGCGGCGUGCUUAACACAUGCAAGUCGAACGGAAAAGCCCUGCUUUUGUGGGGUGCUCGAGUGGCGAACGGGUGAGUAACACGUGAGUAACCUGCCCUUAACUUUGGGAUAACUUCAGGAAACUGGGGCUAAUACCGGAUAGGAGCUCCUGCUGCAUGGUGGGGGUUGGAAAGUUUCGGCGGUUGGGGAUGGACUCGCGGCUUAUCAGCUUGUUGGUGGGGUAGUGGCUUACCAAGGCUUUGACGGGUAGCCGGCCUGAGAGGGUGACCGGCCACAUUGGGACUGAGAUACGGCCCAGACUCCUACGGGAGGCAGCAGUGGGGAAUAUUGCACAAUGGGCGGAAGCCUGAUGCAGCAACGCCGCGUGCGGGAUGACGGCCUUCGGGUUGUAAACCGCUUUCGCCUGUGACGAAGCGUGAGUGACGGUAAUGGGUAAAGAAGCACCGGCUAACUACGUG
rnacentral:rRNA from 1 species